CCUACGGGUGGCAGCAGUGAGGAAUAUUGGUCAAUGGACGAGAGUCUGAACCAGCCAAGUAGCGUGAAGGAUGACUGCCCUAUGGGUUGUAAACUUCUUUUAUAUGGGAAUAAAAUGUUCCACGUGUGGGAUUUUGUAUGUACCAUAUGACUAAGGAUCGGCUAACUCCGUGCCAGCAGCCGCGGUAAUACGGAGGCUCCGAGCGUUAUCCGGAUUUAUUGGGUUUAAAGGGAGCGUAGGUGGGUUGUUAAGUCAGUUGUGAAAGUUUGCGGCUCAACCGUAAAAUUGCAGUUGAAACUGGCAGUCUUGAGUACAGUAGAGGUGGGCGGAAUUCGUGGUGUAGCGGUGAAAUGCUUAGAUAUCACGAAGAACUCCGAUUGCGAAGGCAGUUCACUGGACUGCAACUGACACUGAGGCUCGAAAGUGUGGGUAUCAAACAGGAUUAGAUACCCGUGUAGUC
rnacentral:rRNA from 1 species